rnacentral:tRNA from 1 species
UGGAGGGGUACUCAAGCGGUCAACGAGGGCAGACUGUAAAUCUGCUGGCCCUGCCUUCGCAGGUUCGAAUCCUGCCCCCUCCAA